GUCUAUACAUGCAGUCGAGCGCAGGAAGCAAGCGGAUCCCCUUCGGGGGUGAUGCUUGUGGAAUGAGCGGCGGACGGGUGAGUAACACGUGGGCAACCUGCCUGUAAGACUGGGAUAACCCCGGGAAACCGGGGCUAAUACCGGGUAAUACCUGACUCCGCAUGGAGUCGGGUUGAAAGAUGGCUUCUCGCUAUCACUUACAGAUGGGCCCGCGGCGCAUUAGCUAGUUGGUGAGGUAACGGCUCACCAAGGCGACGAUGCGUAGCCGACCUGAGAGGGUGAUCGGCCACACUGGGACUGAGACACGGCCCAGACUCCUACGGGAGGCAGCAGUAGGGAAUCUUCCGCAAUGGACGAAAGUCUGACGGAGCAACGCCGCGUGAACGAUGAAGGUCUUCGGAUCGUAAAGUUCUGUUGUCAGGGAAGAACAAGUACCGUGCGAAUAGAGCGGUACCUUGACGGUACCUGACCAGAAAGCCACGGCUAACUACGUGCCAGCAGCCGCGGUAAUACGUAGGUGGCAAGCGUUGUCCGGAAUUAUUGGGCGUAAAGCGCGCGCAGGCGGUUUCUUAAGUCUGAUGUGAAAGCCCCCGGCUCAACCGGGGAGGGUCAUUGGAAACUGGGGAACUUGAGUACAGAAGAGGAGAGU
rnacentral:rRNA from 1 species